rnacentral:lncRNA from 1 species
UAACAGGAAAUGAGCUCAAAAAUGUAUAUUUACACUCUCACUUACGUGUAUAAUUAAUAUAUACGAAAGACACAUAAAAUUGAUAGACUGGAUAAAAAAUGAGUUAAAAAUAUAUAUUAACACUUCCACUCAUGUGCAUAAUGAAUAUACAAAAGUUUAGAAUUGGCUCUAAUAUCAUAUAACCCAGAAGAUCAAACUAAUAGAAAUGGGUUCAGAAAUAGUUAUUAUUACUUUUAAAUUGAUU